rnacentral:lncRNA from 1 species
UUGGUUUAGAACGGACGAUGGGGUUUAGAUUCCCUCAUACAAUACUCAAAUCGUUAACACAAGAUUAGGAGAGCAUCGAACGUAAGUUUCCUUUAUUUUCAGAUGCACUUCGAUUAGUUAUUCUGAUAAUCCCCUUUUUAUUUGCCCUAAUUUUUUUCCCUUUUGAUGGUUGUCACCGGUGGCGGCCAUGGAGUUCGUCAGCGAGGAUUCUGAUCAAAUUUUAGCAGGGGUUUUGAAUAUGUUUUGAUGACUGCCCUUAAAGGUGCAACUUUCCAACAACUUAUAAUUAGAUGAUGAAGAAUGAUAAGUGUCAAAAGCUCUAUCAGGUACCACUAUUGCAGAAUUUGCAUGCAUCCUAUUCAAGCGUUUGUUACUCUAUGUCAGGAUUAAUCGGAGACUACUGAAGAGCAGCACGUAGUUAUCAGGAUAACAAGACUCAAGCCAAAUCGACCAUUUAUAUGCUCUAUUAACCAAAAAGAUUUACAAGCAUCAACCAGCUGAUGGAUAAUCACUGUAGACUAAUAGGUUUUGUCGUCAUUUUUACCACAUAAUGAUGAGGUAUUGAUUUAUAUGGUUUGAUGUAUGUACAUGUCAAGUUUGUGGUGUUCAUACAACAUAUCAAAACGAUUUGUUGACGUUUUCUAAAAAAGAGGAGAGUAUGAGUUCAUUU